rnacentral:lncRNA from 1 species
GGGAGGGUGUUUGGGAUCCUUUUCUUUGUAUCUUUCCCCCAAUUUUAGGGUUUUACCAUUGAAUUAUAUCAGAUUUGGCUGGGUUCUAUCAUUGGUUUCAGAGCACCGAUCUGGUGCCCUGAAAACCACUCGUUUUCCCAGUGCUUCGUGAAGAUGCCAAGCACAUGACAUUUUUUCUCCCUAAAUUACCCCUGUAGGCACAUAGUGUUCAUGUUUGGUGGAUUAAAUGAAAAAUAGCUUUGGAGUCUUGGCAAACCAAAAACAAGCAUGCAUAAGUCUAAGCAACAUCUCCCAAUCAACAUGUGCUAUGUUAUUUGAGUCUUUAUAUAUACCCAUGUCAAUGGAAUUAGCUGGCAGAAUUACUGCAGCAUUUAAGCUGGCAAAUCCUGCAUUAUUGCAGAGCUGUAAUCAUGCAAUUCUGUAAUUAUAUCUUUAAUUAGCAUAGGAUAGCAGUUAUAACAAUUUAGCAGAUUUUUAGGGAUUGUAUUAUACUAUAUAUAUGAGAAUCCUCCAGCAGAAGGAUACACGAUUCAAACAUACAAUUCUUAGUUCUUGACAUGGUAUCAGUCUUGGUUGCAAUCCUAUAAUAGUUUUGCACCAAAUUCCUAGUUCUUUUUCCUCUCUUUUGUCUCAAGUUUAUCCUGGUCAAGCCCAAGUUCCUUUUGUUUCUUGUUCAGCCUUCAUUCUUUUCCUCAGCCUCAUGUCUACUGAAAAGUAUGAAGUUUUAUUGGUUCGCCUUAAUGGCAAGAACUACUCAGCCUGGGCAUUUGAGUUCCAGAUCUUUGUCAAAGGUAAGAGCCUUUGGGGUCAUGUUGAUGGUAGCACUUCUGCUCCUGACAAAGAGAAACAAAAAACUGAAUAUGCCGAUUGGGAAGUCAAAGAUAAUCAAGUCAUGGCGUGGAUCAUCAGAUCUGUUGAUCCAAAUAUUGUCCUCAAUCUUAGACCAUUCAGCACUGCAGCCAAGAUGUGGGCCUACCUGAAGAAAAUAUACAGCCAGAAUAACACCGCUCGAAGGUUCCAGCUUGAACAUGACAUCGCCAUUUUUCAACAGGAGAGUCUUUCAAUUUCUGAGUUCUAUUCUCAAUUCAUGAAUCUUUGGGCUGAUUACACUGACAUUGUCUAUGAUAGUGUGUCUACUGAAGGUCUUACUUCCGUACAAACUGUUCAUGAAACCACCAAACGAGAUCAAUUUCUUAUGAAAUUGAGAUCUGAUUUUGAAGGUAUUCGAACCAAUCUCAUGAAUAGAGCUACUGUACCUUCCUUGGAUGCAUGCCUCAAUGAACUGCUUCGUGAAGAACGCCGCCUCCUUACUCUAGCAACCAUGGAGCAGCACAAAUCUGCCUCACUUCCUGUUGCCUAUGCUGUUCAAGGAAAGCCUAGAGGACGGGACCUAAGUGCUGUUCAAUGUUUCUGCUGCAAAGGAUUUGGACAUUAUGCUUCAAAUUGUCCUAGAAAGUCCUGCAAUUACUGCAAAAAAGAUGGUCAUGUCAUUAAAGAAUGUCCUAUAAGACCACCUAAGAAAAAUGCAACAACAUUUACCACCUCAGUUCAUUCUCCUAUUGCCCCAAGUUCUGUGGAUAUAGCAAAUGUGCAGCAUAAUGCUCCUACCCCUGUUCAAGCUUUGACCCCUGAAAUUGUU